GGGGGCGAAACAGGAUCGACGGGGGCGUAAAGGGCAUUCUUUCGCUCGGCAUGGUACCGCCGUCAUCGGACCAAACUUAUAGUUGCCAACGACAACUAUGCUCCGGUUGCUCAGGCCGCGUGAGCGGUUUGAUCUACGGAAAAUAAGUCCUAGCGGGUAGCACCGUCGGGCGGGGUUCGGAGGCACCUGGCAACAGAAGCCUCCACU
rnacentral:tmRNA from 1 species